rnacentral:misc_RNA from 1 species
UUCUACUACGCUAAGGCAGACAAAGGGCGCCACUUGAAAGUGUUGAACCCCAACACACCAGUUGAUCUCAGGAAGCAGAUAGGCCAGGGGAAGUUGUUCCUGAUCCCCAAGAGGGAUUUAAGAGUUCCAUCAAAUGCAGACAGUGUUAUCCAAAGAGAAGAACAACCAGCUGCAAGACCAGUAGCAACUCCAGAGCCACCCAUUGGGUUACUGCAUCCACCAUCACGGGAACUGGAAGAGGAUCAUUCCAUUG